GAGGACACUUCCGAAAAUGAGUCAUCGGGGGAAUUUUCGCCCGAUAACGCUGACUACAUGAACGAGGAGGACAGCUCCGAUUCGGAAGAGGAGGACAGCUCCGAUUCGGAAGAGGAGGGAUCCUCCGAUGAUCCUGAAGGAACGGUCGAGCAGGACCAGGAGGGAUCGGGCGGUACGGUAUGGAGCUCAAAAAACCAAAAAAUUGAUGUGGCAUCCGACACAUGAGGUGGCUGGACAUUACGUCCCGUCACGAAUCCCCACGCCAGGCCCCACGUUAUACGCGUUAGCCAGAAUCAGCAGCCCCAAGUCGGCCUUUGCAUUGUUCAUUGAUGACGAAAUAAUUGCAAAUAUCGUCGAAAUGACCAACCUACAAGGCCUCUGAACAACCAAGCAGUGGUCCCCCCUCACCCCCCAAGAGCUGCGUGCGUACAUCGGAGAAGGGUCCAGCUGCAGACCCGGAGGAGGCCGAUUCAGGGAAAGAUGCAUGUCACAAUACAACGAGGGACAUCUGUCCCUGAGCUGCAAAAAUGCAACACAUGUUGCAGUAUGUACCACUGUCCAUUCUGCCAGCCCGCAUGGUUUCAACCCACAUACUACUGCAAGGUAAAGGACCAUGUGGAGGGCCAUUUUGACCGAGCAGUAUCACAUGAAGGAAAAGCACCCUGCUUUGAUGGUCUCUGCUGCUGCUGCUGCUGCUGCUGCUGCUGCGGCGCCUGGAUCCCCACGACCCACCGCUGUCUCACCUUUUGCUGCCCCACCCACCGCUGCCCAUCCCUCUGCUUCCCCACCCUCUGCUGGACCU